ACAGGAGAAUGGAAGACGUAGGACACAUGCAGUGGGACUCGGAGGGUCACAAAGGAUUGGAUGAGAUUCAGCACCUGUGGUGAAAACAGCAUAAUUAUGCUCCAAACGGAGAUUCGCUCUUGGGACUCCCCAAGACGAGACGAAGCUCUUCCUCCUCCUCGUGUUCCGUGUCAUCAACCAGCACAAGUAAACAAGGGUCAUUGGCGUGAUGGCCCUCAGCUGAAUCUCCCAUCUUUUAAAUUAUGGGACAAUAGGAGCAAAUCAUCCACUGAAACAAUUAAAUUCCCAACUUUCAGUGGCACCACUGGUAUCAUAACAAUCUUAAUAGAAAUGUGCAUCAUGUAAUGAGCCUUGAGUCCUGAGAAGUGACCUGACCUGAUGCUGGUAUAAUGAGGAGCUGGAUAAUGUUCCAUCUCACUCAACAUGAGCUAAAUCUGCAACCAAAUCCCACUAAUGGAGUCCUUUAUAUAUGAAUGCUGACAUGUUUUAUAUAUGAAGUCAAGUCGUGAAUUGUGGUCUGCUUGUGUUAUCUUUCUAUAACAUGUAUUAACUCAAGCUGAUUAAAACUGUAUGACACUCUGACUUGAAAGAUGUCAUGAUGAGAACUGAUAAAAAUA